rnacentral:lncRNA from 1 species
AAAGAUACACAAGAAUUGACUACGAAAAAUUGAGAGUUUAAUUUACUAUCUUUGUAACAAAAUUAUUCCUAAUUUACUAUUUCACUGUUGGUAUAUAUAUUUUUCUUUUCAAUUCUCAUGGCUCUCCUAUAUGAAACCAAAUGUGAACAGUAAAAAUCACCUUAGUCUUUAGUCAUUUGCUAGUAUUUAAGUCACUGCGUAGAAUACAAAUUCCUCAAGAGAAGAAAAUCCAAUGUACAACCUUGAAAUGAUGUUGAAGGAUGGAAUUGACAUGGAUGAUCAGACCUCUGUAAUGUAUUCAAGUGUUUUGAAUUUUGAGAACUGAAAAUUUAAUGGUAUUUUAGUUGUUCUUUGUUAGUUGACUUUUAGACUUGGGGAAAAGAUAGCUUAGUACGUCGAUUAUGUUGUCUUGUAAGAGAACUUGUUAUUGUUUUGUUUGUCACUUGCAUCUAACUCUUGAGUCUGCAGCCUAAAAUAUGAAGAGCAUAGUACAUGCGAUUGAUUGAGAGUACAUCCUGCAACGAUGGGUAAGUUUCUGUUUGAUCAAACUACUCUCUUGCUUGAUGAAUCCCUUUGCUUUUGUAUGGUGCAAUAUCAGUAACUCAAAAAAAUAAAGAGUGUUGAUUUAUACUACAUUCUACUUUUUUUUUAUACUCAAAUUUUUUAGUAUCUCAUGUUCACAUCUAAAGUAUCUAAAUUUCAUCCUAUUGAACACAAGAUAUACUUUCUUGAAGCUAUUGAUCGGCUGCAUUUGUUUGAUCAGAACAAUAUUUUUCCAAUUAUCUAGUUAGUGAUUAAAUUAUUCAUUUAUUUUCUAAAUAAAGUAGCUUGUAGAAAUCUUGUUCCUUAGUUGACAUGAAAUUGUUCUUAUAGCAGGUCAAGAAUUUGAAGUACGAAGAACAUGUCAUUUGAAGAAAUUGGAGAGCAUAUUCAAGCGCAAUAUAUUUUUAUUUUGUUAUUGGUAUUUUAACGAUUUUAUCAGUUGUACAUAUGCUAUAAGUUUUUUUAAGGAGUUAUAAAUUAGUAUCAUACAAUUUUG